rnacentral:rRNA from 1 species
AACUAACGCUGGCGGCGUGCCUAACACAUGCAAGUCGUACGAGAAAGCCGGCUUCGGCUGGUGAGUAAAGUGGCGCACGGGUGAGUAACGCGUGGAUAAUCUGCCCUUAAGUGUGGAAUAACGUACCGAAAGGUGCGCUAAUACCGCAUAAUGCCUGGCAACACAAGUUGUCCGGCCAAAGAAGGCCUCUGUUUACAAGCUUUCGCUUCAGGAUGAGUCCGCGUACCAUUAGCUUGUUGGUGGGGUAAUGGCCUACCAAGGCUGCGAUGGUUAGCUGGUCUGAGAGGAUGAUCAGCCACACUGGAACUGAGACACGGUCCAGACUCCUACGGGAGGCAGCAGUGAGGAAUAUUGCGCAAUGGGGGCAACCCUGACGCAGCAACGCCGCGUGAGUGAGGAAGGUUUUUCGGACUGUAAAGCUCUGUCGAGCGGGAAGAAGUGUACCAUGGCUAAUAUCCAUGAUAUUUGACGGUACCG